UAACCAAUCAAGCUUGUCUUGGUAUUGGGGUUCGCCUUCUAGCGUCCCUUAAACUCAAUGGCGGUGCCGUUGGGCUCUCAGCGUAGUAAUACUCCUCGCUACAGGGUCUUGCGGUUGCUUGCCACAACCCCAACUUUCUUA
rnacentral:misc_RNA from 1 species